GCACAAGCGGUGGAGUAUGUUGUUAAUUCGAAGAUACACGAAGAACCUUACCAGGUCUUGACAUACCAUUGACAGGUGUAGAGAUACACUCUCCUUCGGGCAAUGGAUACAGGUGGUGCAUGGUUGUCGUCAGCUCGUGCCGUGAGGUGUUGGGUUAAGUCCCGCAACGAGCGCAACCCUCAUUGUUAGUUACUACCAUUCAGUUGAGGACUCUAAUGAGACUGCCAACGACAAGUUGGAGGAAGGUGGGGAUGACGUCAAAUCAUCAUGCCCUUUAUGACCUGGGCUACAAACGUACUACAAUGGCCAAUACAAAGAGAUGCGAAGCGGUGACGUGAAGCGAACCUCAGAAAGUUGGUCUCAGUUCAGAUUGAAGUCUGCAACUCGACUUCAUGAAGGCGGAAUCGCUAGUAAUCGCGGGUCAGCAGACCGCGGUGAAUACGUUCCCGGGUUUU
rnacentral:rRNA from 1 species